rnacentral:rRNA from 1 species
UAGGGAAUCUUCCGCAAUGGGCGAAAGCCUGACGGAGCAACGCCGCGUGAGUGAUGAAGGUCUUCGGAUCGUAAAACUCUGUUAUUAGGGAAGAACAAAUGUGUAAGUAACUAUGCACGUCUUGACGGUACCUAAUCAGAAAGCCACGGCUAACUACGUGCCAGCAGCCGCGGUAAUACGUAGGUGGCAAGCGUUAUCCGGAAUUAUUGGGCGUAAAGCGCGCGUAGGCGGUUUUUUAAGUCUGAUGUGAAAGCCCACGGCUCAACCGUGGAGGGUCAUUGGAAACUGGAAAACUUGAGUGCAGAAGAGGAAAGUGGAGUUCCAUGUGUAGCGGUGAAAUGCGCAGAGAUACGGAGGAACACCAGUGGCGAAGGCGACUUUCUGGUCUGUAACUGACGCUGAUGUGCGAAAGCGUGGGGAUCAAACAGG